GAUAAUCUUCUGUGUUUGUGGUUGGUUUUGAAAUACUAUCUCGACCCUAUACGUUAAGGGAAUCCAAUAUUUUUUGAGACUGGGGUCUCAAAGUGAGGGAGCCCACCUGGUUUUCCAGGAGUACGUAUUAGAAAUCAACUGCGACACCGAGGAUUUUUU
rnacentral:other from 1 species